UCGAGAAUUUUUCUCAAUGGGGGAAACCCUGAAGGAGCGACGCCGCGUGAAGGAUGAAGGUCUUCGGAUUGUAAACUUCUGUCAUUGGUGAACAAGGCCCACGCAGUAACUGGUGUUGGGAUUGAUAGUAGCCGAAGAGGAAGAGACGGCUAACUCUGUGCCAGCAGCCGCGGUAAUACAGAGGUCUCAAGCGUUGUUCGGAUUCAUUGGGCGUAAAGGGUGCGUAGGUGGCGUGGUAAGUCUGGUGUGAAAUCCCGGGGCUCAACCCCGGAACUGCACUGGAUACUGCCAUGCUUGAGUACUGGAGAGGAGAUUGGAAUUUACGGUGUAGCAGUGAAAUGCGUAGAUAUCGUAAGGAAGACCAGUGGCGAAGGCGAAUCUCUGGACAGUUACUGACACUGAGGCACGAAGGCCAGGGGAGCAAACG
rnacentral:rRNA from 1 species